rnacentral:rRNA from 1 species
UACGUAGGGGGCGAGCGUUGUCCGAAGUUACUGGGCGUAAAGCGCGCGUAGGCGGACUCUUAAGUGAGGGGUGAAAGGUUCAGGGCUCAACCCGAACACUGCCUUUCAUACUGGGAGUCUUGAGUGCGGGAGAGGCGAGUGGAAUGGUCGGUGUAGCGGUGAAAUGCGCAGAUAUCAGGAGGAACACCGAUGGCGAAGGCAGUGGGCUGGGCCGGCACUGACGCUGAGGAGCGAAAGCGUGGGGAGCGAACAGG